rnacentral:rRNA from 1 species
CCUACGGGUGGCAGCAGUGAGGAAUAUUGGUCAAUGGACGAGAGUCUGAACCAGCCAAGUAGCGUGAAGGAUGACUGCCCUAUGGGUUGUAAACUUCUUUUAUAUGGGAAUAAAAUGUUCCACGUGUGUGAUUUUGUAUGUACCCUAUGAAUAAGGAUCGGCUAACUCCGUGCCAGCAGCCGCGGUAAUACGGAGGAUCCGAGCGUUAUCCGGAUUUAGUGGGGUUAAAGGGCACGUAGGUGGAUUGUUAAGUCAGUUGUGAAAGUUUGCGGUUCAACCGUAACAUUGCAGUUGAAACUGGCAGUCUUGAGUACAGUAGAGGUGGGCGGAAUUCGUGGUGUAGCGGUGAAAUGCUUAGAUAUCACGAAGAACUCCGAUUGCGAAGGCAGUUCACUGGACUGCAACUGACACUGAGGCUCGAAAGUGUGGGUAUCAAACAGGAUUAGAUACCCUAGUAGUC